AUGGCGCCUAGAGCGGCGGAGAAGGCGCCUGUCUCCCCGCCCACCGGCCUCGGCCUCGGCGUCGGCGGCGGGAUCGGGGUCGUCGCCGGCGGCGCGCACUACAGGGGCGUCCGGAAGCGCCCGUGGGGACGCUACGCCGCGGAGAUCCGCGACCCGGCCAAGAAGAGCAGGGUGUGGCUCGGCACGUACGACACCGCGGAGGAGGCCGCGCGCGCCUACGACACCGCCGCCCGCGAGUUCCGCGGCGCCAAGGCGAAGACCAACUUCCCGUUCCCUUCGUCGUCGUUGUCCCCUGUCGCCGCCGCCGGCGGCGGCGGCGGCAGCCCGAGCAGCGACAGCACCUUGGACUCGAGCGGCGGAGGGAGCGGCGGCUGCGCCCAGGCGCCCAUGCAGGCCAUCCCGCUGCCGCCCGCCCUCGACCUGGACCUCUUCCACCGCGCGGCGGUCGUCACGGCCGUCGCCGGCGGCGGCAUGCGCUUCCCAUUCAACGGUUACCCGGUGGCGCCGCGCCAGCCCCUGCACCCGUACUUCUUCUACGAACAGGCCGCGGCCGCCGCGGCGGCGUCGGCGUCGGGGUACCGCGCGCUGAAGGUGGCGCAGCCGGUCACCGUGGCGGCCGUUGCGCAGAGCGACUCCGACUCCUCGUCGGUCGUUGAUCUGUCCCCGUCGCCCCCCGCGGUGACAGCGCAUAAGGCGGUCGCGUUUGAUCUGGAUCUCAACCGGCCGCCGCCUUCCGAGGACUAG
rnacentral:rRNA from 1 species